GAGUUUGAUCUUGGCUCAGGAUGAACGCUGGCGGCGUGCCUAAUACAUGCAAGUCGAGCGAACGGACGAGAAGCUUGCUUCUCUGAUGUUAGCGGCGGACGGGUGAGUAACACGUGGAUAACCUACCUAUAAGACUGGGAUAACUUCGGGAAGCCGGAGCUAAUACCGGAUAAUAUUUUGAACCGCAUGGUUCAAAAGUGAAAGACGGUCUUGCUGUCACUUAUAGAUGGAUCCGCGCUGCAUUAGCUAGUUGGUAAGGUAACGGCUUACCAAGGCAACGAUGCAUAGCCGACCUGAGAGGGUGAUCGGCCACACUGGAACUGAGACACGGUCCAGACUCCUACGGGAGGCAGCAGUAGGGAAUCUUCCGCAAUGGGCGAAAGCCUGACGGAGCAACGCCGCGUGAGUGAUGGAGGUCUUCGGAUCGUAAAACUCUGUUAUUAGGGAAGAACAUAUGUGUAAGUAACUGUGCACAUCUUGACGGUACCUAAUCAGAAAGCCACGGCUAACUAC
rnacentral:rRNA from 1 species